rnacentral:rRNA from 1 species
CUUAAUUCGACGCAACGCGAAGAACCUUACCAAGGCUUGACAUAUACCGGAAAGCGCCAGAGAUGGUGCCCCCCUUGUGGUCGGUAUACAGGUGGUGCAUGGCUGUCGUCAGCUCGUGUCGUGAGAUGUUGGGUUAAGUCCCGCAACGAGCGCAACCCUUGUCCUGUGUUGCCAGCAUGCCCUUCGGGGUGAUGGGGACUCACAGGAGACUGCCGGGGUCAACUCGGAGGAAGGUGGGGACGACGUCAAGUCAUCAUGCCCCUUAUGUCUUGGGCUGCACACGUGCUACAAUGGCCGGUACAAUGAGCUGCGAUGCCGCGAGGCGGAGCGAAUCUCAAAAAGCCGGUCUCAGUUCGGAUUGGGGUCUGCAACUCGACCCCAUGAAGUCGGAGUUGCUAGUAAUCGCAGAUCAGCAUUGCUG